rnacentral:rRNA from 1 species
UGAACGCUAGCGGCAGGCUUAACACAUGCAAGUCGAGGGGCAGCGAGAUUGUUAGCAAUAACGAUUGUCGGCGACCGGCGCAAGGGUGCGUAACGCGUGAGCAACUUGCCCUCAUCAGGGGGAUAACCGUUGGAAACGACGACUAAUACCCCAUAGCAUCACAUUGAGGCAUCUUGGUGUGAUUAAAGAAAUUCGGAUGAGGAUAGGCUCGCGUGACAUUAGCUAGACGGCGGGGUAACGGCCCACCGUGGCUACGAUGUCUAGGGGUUCUGAGAGGAAGGUCCCCCACACUGGAACUGAGAUACGGACCAGACUCCUACGGGAGGCAGCAGUGAGGAAUAUUGGUCAAUGGUCGGAAGACUGAACCAGCCAUGCCGCGUGCAGGAAGAAUGUCUUAUGGAUUGUAAACUGCUUUUGUAUGGGAAUAAUAAUAGCUUUGCGAAGUUAGAUGCAUGUACCAUACGAAUAAGGAUCGGCUAACUCCGUG